rnacentral:misc_RNA from 1 species
GCCCGACACGCGGGGCCACCGACGAUCUCCCUUCCUCUGGCUCUCGCGACACGCGUGACACGCGAGCCGCCUCGUGUGUGCAUGCCGCGUGCGACACACGCGACUUUAUCCCCCGUCGUGGAAAUCUCGUCCGGGACCGCGCGACCAUCCUCGCGAGAGGAGACGGUUCCCAGCGUACGCGCGCGAGAGAAAGGGAGAUAAAAAAAAAAAAAGAAAAGAAAAGAGAGAGAAAGUUUCGAAAAAUAGAGCAGGGGGAGAAAAGAAGAAGUAACGCGCGGAUGACAGCGAGUACAAAUUACACGCCGUCUCCUUUCCCCGACUCGUCACUCCUCUCUCGGCUCUCCUUUGUCGCGCGGAUCUGAGAGGAUGGCCCGCUAGAAAAGCGAAAACCGUGCGUAGCGUAAUGCGCACGACGAGAGAGUGGUAAGCAAGCGACCGAAAAGAGUGUAGUGCGCACACGAGCGAGCGGACGGGCGGCCGCAGAGUUGAGAGAGUAGCGGGCGCGUCGUCUCGUGGGUAUAUUUAAAUAGUGUCUCGGCUGGUCAGAGAGGAAGCCGACGCUUCCUUCGUCGUCGUCGUGUUCUUCGUCUUCGUCGUCGUUACCGCCACUGCCGUCUGUUUCGUAUUUCUGCUUUCGUUUUCAACAUUUCGAAGUCCGCGGCUUGACUCCCUCCCUGUCUCUCUCUCUCUCUCUUGCUCUCUCUUUCUCUCUGUUGUUUUUGAAGUGCAACGCGAUAAGGAGGCUCGGACAGCGCGAGGGGGUGACGAGAUAAUCACUCGCGGAAUCCCGCUCGGCUCGAUGUUACUGACGGAUCGGUGGGGAUCGGCGCUCUUGACGGUCGCGGAUAUUCCCUGCUGCGAAGUCGAUCAGUUCUGUCUGUCUGCGAACGCGAGCGAACACGUGGAUUAGAAGCCUACUGCUACUCAUCAUUCGGCCGGCUCUUUAGUUCAUCGAUUAUCAAGAAUCAAAGUCUCCCUCGUUCGGAAUCGUGAAAGGACUCGGAAUUCGCGGUAGAACAAUUAACGAGGCUCAAGUCGGAUCAGAAUGAUCGUGCCGAUCGCGAAUCAUAAUGAUCAGGAUCUGUGAGAGAUCGAUGCUGGUUGUUGCGUCCGCGAUCGUCGCAGCCGCCGGACGGGAUCAUUUGCGAUAAUACAACACUCUUCCGAAAAAGAGACGAAGAGAGAGAGAGACGCAGGGACAGGAAGAGAGACAGAAGCGGGCCGCAUGGUGCGGUUCGCCACGACUGCCUCCGCCGGCUUCAAGGAUGAAGAGCAUGGUGUCGCGUAGGAUGAAGACAAAUGUGGAAGAAGCCCCGACGUUCCAUUACCGGUGGUACAACAUCUCGUGAGGAUUCGGAAGAGGAAGCUGAUAAAGAAGCGAUUUGGCUAUUCGACGAGGUGGGGACGGAGUCGCGGAGUCGAGUCGCGCCUCGAUUCACAAGUGACCGUGAGAUAAGAGUUAUCGGGCAUAGUGAACUUUACGUUGACGUAAGACUCGCGAGUAUUCGCGGCAACGAAAGGGGCUCGCUCUGCGAGCUCGAGGAGGAGGAGGGGGCGAGAAGCACGUGCCUCUGUGCGAGUCGGGGUGACCGAGGUGUCGACCUCACCCCCGAUCACACCGCUUAACCAGGUUGGAUGAUGUGGGCGCCUCUGCUUUUGGCCGGGUUCUUAAGCGGCUGGUGGGGCGCACUGGCGCUCGCUGCGGCACCCCCCGCCAUUCGGGACACCCUCGGGGAGACAUCCAGGGCGGCCACGGGCAUCAUCGAGACGAGGUAUUAUCGUCCACGAUCGCUGAGCGUGGACCGAGUCCUUGGCGAGGAUUAUCAAUCACGAGGAGAAGUUGGGGGGCAUCCCGCGCGUCGCGACCUUGACAAAGUUCUGCUGGUUGAUCCAAGCUCGGUGAACCAGGUGCAAGAUCUUUCCACCGGAAGAGAACAUCCGCUGCAGAAUGACGCGCGACGGAUCUUGCAAUACUUCCACGGCGGAGCGUCGCCCGAGAAGAAUUUCGGGACUCGAUCGAUCACAUCGAGUCUGCCGAAAAUGGAGGGGUUCGCGAAGAAUAUCCUUUCUGCCGUCGAGGCGGCGGAAAACGCCCGCGUCCUUCACCCAGAGAUGAACGAGUCCGGUCUGACUCGCGCGCCUCAUCACUCCUCGUCGCAAACACCUCUUACGUAUCCGCCGGCGGUGGCACCGGCGCCGACGGAAUCGUCGAUGGAGCGGCCGCGAAUCGUCAGAUCAACGAAGCAACGACCAAAGAACCGCACCAAGGCGGACUCGCCGCGCGAGCAGCGACGCCGAUGCAAGAACAAGGAAAAAGGCUGCCGCGGUCAGAACUGGUGCCCCGCCGUCGACGUGGGCAAUCGAGCCUUCCUGGCGCCCACUGUAUUCGAGGGUAAAGCUCGUAGCAUGUCCUCGCUGAGGAAGCCCGGCUCGAACUACGCGGUGACCUUCGAGGUAAAGCAGGUUUACAAGAGCCAACCGGGCUUCCAGCCGCUGCAGAAGAACGACAGCGUGCGACUGCACUUUCGUGACAAAUUGGCGCCCGGCAAGUCGACCGUGUGCAACGGCCACGAGAACGGCGGCAAGGGCGGCAACAAGCAGCAGCAGCAGCAGCAACAGCAGCAACAGCGCGAUAAUCCGAGUGGUGUGGUGCGAGCCAAUAUUAAAAGGGGCAAAGUGUAUUUAGUGUUUGUGAAUCGCGUGGGACCCAGGAACUUCACGAUCCUCGGCGAGCCGGUGAUCCGAAGCAAGAAGAACGAACAGGCCGUGCAGGCUGUCGUUCGGCCUGAUUACGUGCGAGAAGUUACGUUGUCCGAACUCAGGGACUCGAUAGCGAGGUUACGGGACAGAGUGAAGCUAGUAUGCAGGACGAGGGGCUCACCACCCCCGAAAGUACACUGGCUGAAGGACGGUGUACCACUGCACCCCCGAAGAGGCCUCAGGAUUCAGCACAAACGGCGGAGAUCGAAAGUCGUGAUAUCCUCCGCCAAGCUUGAGGACAGUGGCAGAUACGAAUGUGUGGCUGAGAGUACUUCCGGUCAUCAGGCCACACUAGCGGCCCAACUUCUAGUCACUACUCAUGAUACCAAAAUUCCGGAAACAACGACAACAUGGAUACGGCAGGAGCAGCCCUGUCCAAUAGCAGGAGACUUUUGCAUGAACGGUGGUACCUGUCUAUUUUUCGAGACCGUCGGUGAACCGGCAUGCAGAUGCGCGGAGGGCUUCACGGGACUGCGGUGUGAGACGAAGGACGUCAGCAGUACCGGAAAUAUGGAUAAGUUCUCUUCGUUCGCCGAGGACGUGACGCUUGCCCGCUUCUAGCGCAUCUAGCGGCACUGUCAAGCUUGCACAUCGGGACAUUCAUCGUGUUUUGUUUUGUUGUAGCCUCACCCACCCAUUCGCCCCCCGUUCCCCAUUCCCGUACAGGUUCCUGCAUCCGCGACUUCGCCCUCCGCGCUCUCCUCGGGCUCUCCUCUUGCCGCGCGAACUCCCGUGUUUCCUCCUCCCGUCGUAUUACCACCAUCCGCCGAUUCGCGUAACCGUCUCGAACACUCGUCGCUACUCGCCCUUCGUCACUUCUUCCCGAUUUCACUCCCUCGAACCGUCCUAUCCGUCAUCAUCUCUCUCCUCCGACAUUCCCCUACGUUUCGCCCAUUGUCCACCGUCAUCCCCUCGACUUGUUUCGAGACGACGACGCCAGUCAUCAUCAGGAACCACCAUCAUUUCUCAAAGGAGAGCCUCAGGAGACGAAGCGAGCCGCCGACCAACGUCAUCCUCGCGCACACCGCAUCCUGGACCGUCGUGAAUCAAAAUUUCGCGAGCUAUCCUGGACGAAAGCCAUCGCGUUGAGUGCCCUUUUCCGUGAGACGAAGGUCUAUAGAAGCAGUGGAAAGUUUCAACUCUGUGCCCGGAACUCUUCGUCCUGGAUUGCGACAAAGACUAUCACACUGAAUAUUCGCAUAUUGGCCGGAAGAAACCAACCUCUUCCAUAGACGGGAUUAGAAAACUUCUAACGAAUCUCUACGCAUCUCGCCACCUCAUCUGCAAGAAAAACUUCGGCCCUCUGUUCGACGAGAAAAAAUCAUGGGAUACGACGAAAAGCAAACGUGAAAAAGAGUAUUACGAACAAUUUGCUGUCACUCAUUAUAAUUCAUUGGAGAAUUGUUAUAAUCCUGAUUGAACUAAGACGAUUAUCAUAAUUAAAUCAUUAUAAACCGCGGCUGGAUAUUGAUCGUAGAUACAUAUAUGUGAAUUCUUACAUUAACAAAAUCUAUAAUCGUUGAGGACACAUUCUUUAAUUGUCUGAUUAUUAUUAAAUUAAU